rnacentral:rRNA from 1 species
AUACGGGAGGCAGCAGUCGAGAAUUUUUCACAAUGGGCGCAAGCCUGAUGGAGCGACGCCGCGUGGGGGAUGAAUGGCUUCGGCCCGUAAACCCCUGUCAUUCGGGAUCAAUGCCGGCGACCUAAUACGUCGUCUGUUGAUAGUACCGGAAGAGGAAGGGACGGCUAACUCUGUGCCAGCAGCCGCGGUAAUACAGAGGUCCCAAGCGUUGUUCGGAUUCACUGGGCGUAAAGGGUGCGUAGGCGGCCGGAUCAGUCUGAUGUGAAAUCUCGGAGCCCAACUCCGAAACGGCAUUGGAUACUAUUCGGCUAGAGGUUGGGAGGGGGGACUGGAAUUCUCGGUGUAGCAGUGAAAUGCGUAGAUAUCGAGAGGAACACCAGCGGCGAAGGCGAGUCCCUGGACCAAUCCUGACGCUGAGGCACGAAAGCCAGGGGAGCAAACGGGAUUAGAUACCCCGGU